rnacentral:rRNA from 1 species
GACGAACGCUGGCGGCGUGCUUAACACAUGCAAGUCGAACGGAGCUUUUUGGAUAGAGACUUCGGUCAAUUGAAUUAAAGCUUAGUGGCGGACUGGUGAGUAACGCGUGAGGAACCUGCCUUUCAGAGGGGGACAACAGUUGGAAACGACUGCUAAUACCGCAUAACGUAUCGGAACCGCAUGAUUCUGAUACCAAAGCUGAGGCGCUGAAAGAUGGACUCGCGUCUGAUUAGAUAGUUGGUGAGGUAACGGCUCACCAAGUCGACGAUCAGUAGCCGGACUGAGAGGUUGAUCGACCACAUUGGGACUGAGACACGGCCCAGACUCCUACGGGAGGCAGCAGUGGGGAAUAUUGCACAAUGGGGGAAACCCUGAUGCAGCAACGCCGCGUUGAGGGAAGACGGUUUUCGGGUGUAAAACCUCUGUCCUCUGUGAAGAAGAAAGUGACGGUAGCAGAGGAGAAGCCAACGGGCUAAACUACGUGCCAGCAGCCGACGG